rnacentral:rRNA from 1 species
CAGCAGCCGCGGGAAUACGUAGGGUGCGAGCGUUAAUCGGAAUUACUGGACGUAAAGCGUGCGCAGGCGGUUGUGUAAGACAGGUGUGAAAUCCCCGGGCUUAACCUGGGAACUGCGCUUGUGACUGCACAGCUAGAGUAUGGCAGAGGGGGGUGGAAUUCCACGUGUAGCAGUGAAAUGCGUAGAGAUGUGGAGGAACACCGAUGGCGAAGGCAGCCCCCUGGGCCAAUACUGACGCUCAUGCACGAAAGCGUGGGGAGCAAACAGGAUUAGAUACCCCAGUAGUCCCUGUCUCUUAUAC